rnacentral:piRNA from 1 species
AGUGACAGGGAUCCAGGUGCACACCUGAGU